GAUGAAGAACGCAGCGAAAUGCGAUACGUAAUGUGAAUUGCAGAAUUCAGUGAAUCAUCGAAUCUUUGAACGCACAUUGCGCCUGCCAGCACUCUGGCAGGCAUGCCUGUUCGAGCGUCAUUUCAACCAUCAAGCCCUAGGCUUGCGUUGGAGCCCUGCGGCUGCCGCAGGCCCCUAAAAGCAGUGGCGGGCUCGCUAUCACACCGAGUGCAGUAGAUUACUCUUCGCUCAGGGCUUGUGGCGGGUUCCAGCCGUGAAACCCCCUACUUCUCAAGGUUGACCUCGGAUCAGGUAGGAAUACCCGCUGAACUUAAGCAUAUCAAUAAGCGGAGGA
rnacentral:misc_RNA from 1 species